rnacentral:rRNA from 1 species
AGUGGGGAAUAUUGGACAAUGGACCAAAAGUCUGAUCCAGCAAUUCUGUGUGCACGAUGAAGGUCUUCGGAUCGUAAAGUGCUUUCAGUAGGGAAGAAAAAAAUGACGGUACCUACAGAAGAAGCGACGGCUAAAUACGUGCCAGCAGCCGCGGUAAUACGUAUGUCGCAAGCGUUAUCCGGAAUUAUUGGGCGUAAAGCGCGUCUAGGCGGUCUUUUAAGUCUGAUGUGAAAAUGCGGGGCUCAACUCCGUAUUGCGUUGGAAACUGGAAGACUAGAGUAUCAGAGAGGUGGGCGGAACUACAAGUGUAGAGGUGAAAUUCGUAGAUAUUUGUAGGAAUGCCGAUUGGGAAGCCAGCUCACUGGAUGAAUACUGACGCUGAAGCGCGAAAGCGUGGGGAGCAAA